GAAAUGCGAUAAGUAAUGUGAAUUGCAGAAUUCAGUGAAUCAUCGAAUCUUUGAACGCACCUUGCGCUCCUUGGUAUUCCUUGGAGCAUGCCUGUUUGAGUAUCAUGAAAUCUUCAAAGUAAAUCUUUUGUUAACUCAAUUGGUUUCUACUUUGGUAUUGGAGGUCUUUGCAGCUUCACACCUGCUCCUCUUUGUGCAUUAGCUGGAUCUCAGUGUUAUGCUUGGUUCCACUCGGCGUGAUAAGUUAUCUAUCGCUGAGGACACUGUAAAAGGUGGCCAAGGUAAAUGCAGAUGAACCGCUUCUAAUAGUCCAUUGACUUGGACAAUACUUUUAUGAUCUGAUCUCAAAUCAGGUAGGACUACCCGCUGAACUUAAGC
rnacentral:misc_RNA from 1 species